rnacentral:rRNA from 1 species
GGACUACUGGGGUAUCUAAUCCUGUUUGCUCCCCACGCUUUCGCGUCUCAGCGUCAGUUAUCUUCCAGGUGGCCGCCUUCGCCACAGGUGUUCCUCCCGAUAUCUACGAAUUUCACCUCUACACCGGGAAUUCCGCCACCCCCUCCGAUACUCUAGUCCGGCAGUUUCGAUCGCAGUUCCUUGGUUAAGCCAAGGGCUUUCACGACCGACUUAUCAGACCGCCUACACGCGCUUUACGCCCAGUAAUUCCGAACAACGCUUGCACCCUCUGUAUUACCGCGGCUGCUGGCAC